UGUAUUCACAUAGUUGUGUAAUGAACUUCCAAAUUUUUUUUCAUUUUGUGAAACUGAAACCAUAUCCAUUAAAAAAUUCCUCAUUUGACCUUUCACUAGGUCCUAGCAACCACCAUUCUCUUCUCUAUUUCUAUGAAUUUGACUACUCUGGAUACCUCAUGGGUUAUUGUCCUUCUUUAGGAAUGCCUAUUUGGCAUGGAUAUUCUUAGCACCUGGUAGAGCCUCCCAUGAAUCCUUGAUCUGAAGAGUAAAGAGCCAUUGGGGGAGGAGAAGCUAAGUGAAUCCCCUGUAGCUAAUUAAAAGAAGAGAAAAACACAGGUUUGGUUCAAAGAUGGAUUCAAAUAAUCUGUGCUGUCCUGGCUGAAAAUGGAAGCGCUGCCAUAUUUUAAACCCACCUAGGAGUGCCCCUGAAAUAUAUGAGUUAAAGAAAAUUUGUUCUAUGGAGAAAGCUGUUAAGUGUACACUCGGGUAUUUACUUUGUAUGGAGAUAAGAGACCUGAGUUAUAGAAACACACGUGCUUCUAGGAAAGUAUGAAGGGACUGAAUAGCUGUUCAGGAUCCUUAAGAAAACAGCGUUAGAUCACAGAAAAUGA